UACGUAGGGCGCAAGCGUUGUCCGGAAUUAUUGGGCGUAAAGGAGCUACGUAGGUGGCGUGUCGCGUCUGCCGUGAAAGCCCAUGGCUUGAACUGUCGGGUCUGUGGUGGAUACGGGCUAGGACUGGAGGCUGGUAGGGGCAAGCGGAAGUUCCUGGUGUGAGACGGUGGAAAUGCGCAGAGUAUACAGGAGGAACACCGGUGGCGAAGGCGGCUUGCUGGGCCAGUUCUGACGCUGAGGAGCGAAGCGUGGGGAGCGAACAGG
rnacentral:rRNA from 1 species